rnacentral:rRNA from 1 species
GUGAGGAAUAUUGCGCAAUGGCCGAAAGGCUGACGCAGCGACGCCGCGUGAGGGAUGAAGUCCGUUAGGAUGUAAACCUCUUUUGCAGGGGAUGAAACCGCCGCUACAGGCGGCGGAUGACCGUACCCUGCGAAUAAGGAUCGGCUAACUACGUGCCAGCAGCCGCGGUAAUACGUAGGAUCCGAGCGUUGUCCGGAAUUACUGGGUGUAAAGGGCGUGUAGGUGGGUCUUUAAGUCGGUGGUGAAAUCUUGCGGCUCAACCGCAAAACUGCCGUCGAUACUGGGGACCUUGAGUGCGGAAGAGGGAAAUGGAAUUCAUGGUGUAGCGGUGAAAUGUGUAGAUAUCAUGAAGAACACCAGUUGCGAAGGCGGUUUCCUGGUCCGCUACUGACACUGAGGCGCGAAAGCGUGGGGAGCAAACAGGAUUAGAAACCCUAGUAGUCC